rnacentral:misc_RNA from 1 species
GGGAGAUUCACGGUGCAUACUAGACACCCAAGGAGGUGUAGUUUCUCUAUUGACAGUUGAUCAUAGGUUGGAGGAAAAUGAAGAAGAGAGGGAACGUGUAACUGCAAGUGGUGGUGAGGUUGGGAGGCUCAACGUUUUUGGCGGGAAUGAGGUUGGUCCUCUCCGCUGCUGGCCUGGUGGCUUAUGUCUUUCUAGGUCCAUUGGGGAUACAGAUGUAGGAGAAUAUAUUGUCCCAAUACCGCACGUUAAGCAAGUGAAGCUUUCUAAUGCUGGUGGAAGGCUAAUUAUUGCUUCUGAUGGUAUUUGGGAUGCAUUAUCAUCUGAAAUGGC